rnacentral:rRNA from 1 species
GACGUAGGGCGCGAGCGUUGUCCGGAUUUAUUGGGCGUAAAGAGCUCGUAGGCGGCUUGUCGCGUCGACUGUGAAAUCCCGCGGCUCAACUGCGGGUCUGCAGUCGAUACGGGCAGGCUAGAGUUCGGUAGGGGAGACUGGAAUUCCUGGUGUAGCGGUGAAAUGCGCAGAUAUCAGGAGGAACACCGGUGGCGAAGGCGGGUCUCUGGGCCGAUAUUGACGCUGAGGAGCGAAAGCGUGGGGAGCGAACAGG